rnacentral:rRNA from 1 species
AUUGAACGCUGGCGGCAGGCCUAACACAUGCAAGUCGAACGGUAACAGGAAGAAGCUUGCUUCUUUGCUGACGAGUGGCGGACGGGUGGGUAAUGUCUGGGAAACUGCCUGAUGGAGGGGGAUAACUACUGGAAACGGUAGCUAAUACCGCAUAAUGUCGCAAGACCAAAGAGGGGGACCUUCGGGCCUCUUGCCAUCGGAUGUGCCCAGAUGGGAUUAGCUAGUAGGUGGGGUAACGGCUCACCUAGGCGACGAUCCCUAGCUGGUCUGAGAGGAUGACCAGCCACACUGGAACUGAGACACGGUCCAGACUCCUACGGGAGGCAGCAGUGGGGAAUAUUGCACAAUGGGCGCAAGCCUGAUGCAGCUAUGCCGCGUGUAUGAAGAAGGCCUUCGGGUUGUAAAGUACUUUCAGCGGGGAGGAAGGGAGUAAAGUUAAUACCUUUGCUCAUUGACGUUACCCGCAGAAGAAGCACCGGCUAACUCCGUG